UACAGAGGGUGCGAGCGUUAAUCGGAAUUACUGGGCGUAAAGCGUGCGUAGACGGUUAUUUAAGUCGGAUGUGAAAGCCCCGGGCUCAACCUGGGAAUUGCAUUCGAGACUGAAUAGCUAGGGUGCGGUAGAGGGAAGCGGAAUUUCCGGUGUAGCGGUGAAAUGCGUAGAUAUCGGAAGGAACACCAGUGGCGAAAGCGGCUUCCUGGUCCAGCACCGACGUUCAGGCACGAAAGCGUGGGGAGCAAACGGG
rnacentral:rRNA from 1 species